GACGUGGGGCGCGAGCGUUGUCCGGAUUUAUUGGGCGUAAAGAGCUCGUAGGCGGCUUGUCGCGUCGAAUGUGAAAUCUCAGGGCUCAACUCUGACAUUGCAUUCGAUACGGGCAGGCUAGAGUUCGGUAGGGGAGACUGGAAUUCCUGGUGUAGCGGUGAAAUGCGCAGAUAUCAGGAGGAACACCGAUGGCGAAGGCAGGUCUCUGGGCCGAUACUGACGCUGAGGAGCGAAAGCGUGGGGAGCGAACAGG
rnacentral:rRNA from 1 species